rnacentral:rRNA from 1 species
UACGUAGGUGGCAAGCGUUGUCCGGAUUUAUUGGGUUUAAAGGGUGCGUAGGCGGCAUUUUAAGUCAGUGGUGAAAUACUUCAGCUUAACUGGAGAGGUGCCAUUGAUACUGGGAUGCUUGAGUACUGAUGAGGUAGGCGGAAUGGACGGUGUAGCGGUGAAAUGCUUAGAUAUCGUCCAGAACACCGAUAGCGAAGGCAGCUUACUAAGGAGUAACUGACUCUGAGGCACGAAAGUGUGGGGAUCAAACAGG